rnacentral:sRNA from 1 species
UCAGCGAGUGAAGGGCGUGAAGAGCCCGC